rnacentral:rRNA from 1 species
GAUGAACGCUGGCGGCGUGCCUAAUACAUGCAAGUCGAGCGAACGGACGAGAAGCUUGCUUCUCUGAUGUUAGCGGCGGACGGGUGAGUAACACGUGGAUAACCUACCUAUAAGACUGGGAUAACUUCGGGAAACCGGAGCUAAUACCGGAUAAUAUUUUGAACCGCAUGGUUCAAAAGUGAAAGACGGUCUUGCUGUCACUUAUAGAUGGAUCUGCGCUGCAUUAGCUAGUUGGUAAGGUAACGGCUUACCAAGGCAACGAUGCAUAGCCGACCUGAGAGGGUGAUCGGCCACACUGGAACUGAGACACGGUCCAGACUCCUACGGGAGGCAGCAGUAGGGAAUCUUCCGCAAUGGGCGAAAGCCUGACGGAGCAACGCCGCGUGAGUGAUGAAGGUCUUCGGAUCGUAAAACUCUGUUAUUAGGGAAGAACAUAUGUGUAAGUAACUGUGCACAUCUUGACGGUACCUAAUCAGAAGGCCACGGCUAACUACGUG